rnacentral:lncRNA from 10 species
GAAUUUCUGUAUAUUAAUUUCCCCAUCUGUGUGUGAAUCUUCAGUUACUUAAAAAUAAAGCAUUAAAAAAGUAAAUAAAAAUAAAAUUUGCUAAACCACAAGAGUUUCUUUCUUUCUCAUGUAAGAGAAAAGCUAGGUCCUGAUGAAGGUAGCUUAGGUUUACAUAUCUAUCUAGAAUGUAAGCUUUAUUUCAGCUUUCUUCUACAUAAUUUCUAUACUAUAUGCCAUGGUCUCAAGCGAGGCAAGGAGAAUAGGGUUUGGAGGCAGGGAACCUAAGGCUGAUUCUGCCUGACUCGAUAUCAGAGGCUACUCCCUUUUCAACCCCUCCUUUAUUCUGCAUGGCAGUUGCUGCUGGCAGUUGUAACCCCUCCUUUUGCUGCCUCGCAGUUGUUGCAUGGCAGUUGGAAAAUGAAAGUACCUCUGAUUGGUCCCCUCCUGCAACCAAUCAGAUUGGUCGUGGGCCUCCUCUUCAACCAAUCAGACUAGUCACAGGUCACUCGAGUGAACCAAUGGGAAACCUCUUGAGGGUAUAUAAACCCCAGAAAAUUCUGUCACCAGGGUCGUUGAACAGCUGCUCUGCAAGCUCCCACCCUGUGGAGUGUACUUUGAUCUUCAAUAAAUCUUUGCUU